AUUGAACGCUGGCGGCAUGCCUUACACAUGCAAGUCGAACGGCAGCACGGGGGCAACCCUGGUGGCGAGUGGCGAACGGGUGAGUAACAUAUCGGAACAUACCCUAGAGUGGGGGAUAACGUAGCGAAAGUUACGCUAAUACCGCAUACGAUCUAAGGAUGAAAGUGGGGGAUCUUCGGACCUCAUGCUCAUGGAGUGGCCGAUAUCUGAUUAGCUAGUUGGUGAGGUAAAGGCUCACCAAGGCGACGAUCAGUAGCUGGUUUGAGAGAACGACCAGCCACACUGGAACUGAGACACGGUCCAGACUCCUACGGGAGGGCAGCAGUGGGGAAGUUUUGGUACAAUGGGGGCGAACCCUAGAUCCAGCAAUGCCG
rnacentral:rRNA from 1 species